AGCAGUGUGCGUGCCCACAUUUAUGUGGUCUAUGGAAUCACAACUUGAUCCUGUAUUAGCUAAAGGCUGACAACAAGAACAUCAAUGACAAGGCAUGGUCAGAAGGCAGUGCAAAAGUUGAGGAAGUGUUGCAGGACCCACUUUGCUUUCUACCUAAAGAUUUAUCACUGGAGAAGCUAUCACCUACAAUAUACAGGGAUGCUGCCUGAUCUGCUGAGUGUUUCCAGAAUUUUUUGUAUGAAUGGAUGAUCCUUUUACAUAACAGCCGUGGUGAGUGGACCAGUAGGAAAUCCAUUUUUCCUGGGUUCCUGACUGGAAAUUCAGGCUUGCUUCUUCCUGACUUCCUCCCAUUCUUGAGGCACCCUUGGAAUUCUCCACAGAUGCUCAGCAAGUGAAUCUUUCCGACAAUGUGGCCACUCGAUGUGUCUCAGACAAGUGCAAAGGGACAAGUUCAGAAAUGAGAAUACAUGGUGUAAGUCUACAGACAGCGUCUUCAACUGCACUCCAUAUGUCAGCCGUGCCUUUCCCCUGGGGCAUUUCAUUCUAUUAUCCAUAUAUGGAUAUCCAGAGAGCUUCCCUCUGUAUUUGCAGGCCUUGGCUUCCCCAUGAAUUUCCAGCUUGUACUCCAACGUUUGACCGGUCCUCCUCUCCCUUUUGCUGGCUGCUGUCAGAGGAAAAUGCAAGAGUCUUGGGAUCCACAUUGCAAGGAUUGAUUGGCGAGGACGUGGACCUAUUUUAGGGGAUUCUGAGUUUCAUGUUGCAUGUUUUUUUGGAUACUGCUCUUUUUUUGUUGCUCUUUUUAAAUGGUUUGAGCAAUGCAUACUGAUGGUUGGUGCAACUGUAACGAUACCCAAUUUCCCUCGGGAUCAAUAAAGUAUGGCUGUGACUAUGACUAUGACUAUGGCAUACUGGGAUACUUCGGCGAAGAGUAGCCCUGCAACCUGUAGUGGGCUAGUGUUAUGGCACUGAACUGAACUAAACUGAAUACUACUGAACUCCUGGUUUGACGUUUGAUAUUUGAUGUGUUUGCUCACUUUUUGCUGUUUGCGCUAUUUGUUCUUUUUUCGUACAUUGGGUUUUGAUAUUUUCUUGACCAUGUGCUAUUGUGUUUCUUUGUUUUGUGGCUGCCUGUGCGAGUACAGAUCUCAGAGUUAUAUUCUGUAUGCAUACUUUGAUAAUAAAUGUAGUUUCAAUCUUUAAAUCUUUGAAACUUCCCCUCCU